GAACUGACAAUGAAUCAAGGGGCAGACAGGACUUAAAUACAAAAUACGAAACACGAGGCAGGUGACCGCGAUUACAUUGAUUGAGGUGACACAGGAGGGGAGGGGCGACGCAAACAGAAACUAU